rnacentral:rRNA from 1 species
UUUAUGGAGAGUUUGAUCCUGGCUCAGGAUGAACGCUGGCGGCGUGCCUAAUACAUGCAAGUCGAGCGAACGGACGAGAAGCUUGCUUCUCUGAUGUUAGCGGCGGACGGGUGAGUAACACGUGGAUAACCUACCUAUAAGACUGGGAUAACUUCGGGAAACCGGAGCUAAUACCGGAUAAUAUUUUGAACCGCAUGGUUCAAAAGUGAAAGACGGUCUUGCUGUCACUUAUAGAUGGAUCCGCGCUGCAUUAGCUAGUUGGUAAGGUAACGGCUUACCAAGGCAACGAUGCAUAGCCGACCUGAGAGGGUGAUCGGCCACACUGGAACUGAGACACGGUCCAGACUCCUACGGGAGGCAGCAGUAGGGAAUCUUCCGCAAUGGGCGAAAGCCUGACGGAGCAACGCCGCGUGAGUGAUGAAGGUCUUCGGAUCGUAAAACUCUGUUAUUAGGGAAGAACAUAUGUGUAAGUAACUGUGCACAUCUUGACGGUACCUAAUCAGAAAGCCACGGCUAACUACGUGCCAGCAGCCGCGGUAAUACGUAGGUGGCAAGCGUUAUCCGGAAUUAUUGGGCGUAAAGCGCGCGUAGGCGGUUUUUUAAGUCUGAUGUGAAAGCCCACGGCUCAACCGUGGAGGGUCAUUGGAAACUGGAAAACUUGAGUGCAGAAGAGGAAAGUGGAAUUCCAUGUGUAGCGGUGAAAUGCGCAGAGAUAUGGAGGAACACCAGUGGCGAAGGCGACUUUCUGGUCUGUAACUGACGCUGAUGUGCGAAAGCGUGGGGAUCAAACAGGAUUAGAUACCCUGGUAGUCCACGCCGUAAACGAUGAGUGCUAAGUGUUAGGGGGUUUCCGCCCCUUAGUGCUGCAGCUAACGCAUUAAGCACUCCGCCUGGGGAGUACGACCGCAAGGUUGAAACUCAAAGGAAUUGACGGGGACCCGCACAAGCGGUGGAGCAUGUGGUUUAAUUCGAAGCAACGCGAAGAACCUUACCAAAUCUUGACAUCCUUUGACAACUCUAGAGAUAGAGCCUUCCCCUUCGGGGGACAAAGUGACAGGUGGUGCAUGGUUGUCGUCAGCUCGUGUCGUGAGAUGUUGGGUUAAGUCCCGCAACGAGCGCAACCCUUAAGCUUAGUUGCCAUCAUUAAGUUGGGCACUCUAAGUUGACUGCCGGUGACAAACCGGAGGAAGGUGGGGAUGACGUCAAAU